GACUCCCUGCUGACCAUCUUCUUUCUCCUGCUUCCAUUGUCUCUUUUCUCUCUCCCUGUCCUCCUCUUCCUGGCCCCUCUCCCCGAUAGGACUGCAGGCUCUGACAGGGUGGCAAACAGUCUUUCUGUGGCUUUUUUAUAGCAAACAGGUGUCUCUUUGGAGACUGGCAGGCCUCCGCGGGUUACUUUCUGACCUCAGAGGGUCGAUCGAGCCACAGAGCUGUUGUUGUGUUCAGGUUAGUGCAAGUUAAGCUGCACCCACAGGACAAGUGAGACACUUGGCAGGUCUCUUAUCACCCAGAGCAGUUAUGAUCGCGGGUAUAAGGCCAAUAUCAUCACUGUUUGCCUUCACAUGCUUUUUGCACUUUCCGCCACUGUUAGAACUCGGAUAUGUGCCAGGUGUUUCACAGGAACAUGCCCUUUGUGUGCGACAUUGGUCUUUCUGCGAUCCAGAGGUGUGACAGUUUGUUAAGAGGUGGUGACUGUAACGUUUGCCAUGACAAACUGCGUCAUAGGCAGUAAUAUAUGUGUGUGUGUGUGUGUGUGUGUGUGUGUAUGCUGCAUACAAUACGUUGCACUUCAAAAGGAAAGUGACACAGAAAUGAAACCGAGUUAGCAAACAGACAGCACUGGAAAGAAAUGUUGGUUCCUCAGUAGUUGGUUCCCAUUGUAUCAGUAAAGCCUGUAUGACCUGUCUGUUGAAAAAUAACAAAAUGAGAAACGUUAACAGUUCGAUUGAUGUUUAUCUUACUCAUGUCAGAGGCCAGUAUGCCAUGAAACAAAAGCAAAUAUUAAUGUUGCAAUCGCCGAGGUAGAUAAAACCGAUGUGUUAAUUAAUCGACAACCGAUUUGAUCUUUCAACCUACUUUUAGAGGGGAAAGUGAAUGCAGAUUGAAUGAUCGGAAAUACCUGCAUAUUGUAUGUAGUAUCAGGACUCUGACUUGACUGCUUAUUGUUGGUACUGUAUCCUGAUCUAAAUAAGGGUUGGUGUCAAGAUGGCGCCUUCAUGCCACGUGUUUAUGUAACAGUGAUUAUGGGCAGACCCUUUCAACAUACCCCCCUCCAACAUCACAACUCCUAAUUCCCCUGCAUCGCCCACUGUCAUUUAAAAUCAAUCAGCGUUGGCAUUAGGGAGCAAAUGAGUUAACAAAAAAAGAAGCGAAAGAACCUCUUCUCAUGAACAUCGACAUGUAACGGAGAGAGGAAAAUGUUAAGAAGGAAGAAGCUGUUGAAAAAGAGAGAGAACAAGGGUUACAGAGACAGACGGAGAGGUAGGAGUAGGAGAGCGCUUCCCCCGCCCCUCUCUUAUCCUCAGAUGAACUUUUCGUGUUGCCUCAUAAUGUUUCUGAGUUUUUCUCCUAGAGGCAGUCCGGCUUACUUCCUGCAUUCAGCCUCAACAUAGCUGAUUGGUUGAUAUCUUGGCUGACCAGCCGCGGUUUUACAGCGAGGCAACAGGAAGUUUCUCUUUUCGUGCAGGAAGCAGCAGCUGUUUCAUCCUGACCUACACCACUUUGCACUCUGCACGCAGUCUUUGUAUACGUGCGCAGGAAUAUGUAUGCACAGCCUGCAUGUGUGUGAGUGUGUCUGGCGUGCUCUGUGUGGCAAUAUCGAAUGCUAUAACAUGUAGGCGUGUAGCAGCAUGCCAGGCCAGGCAUCGGAGCUAUCAGAGACAUUUGAAACCAUGGUAACCGCACAUCUUAUCAGCACAUUAGCAAAAGCAUAGAAAAGUGGAACAAAAAGCCGAGGGGAUAGGAGCACAGGAAGAGGAAACUAAACAUUCGAUUUAAAAAAAUUCAGUCACAGUUUCUGUUAUCUAGUCAUCUGAAUGAUUGGUAUACUUUAACUCAUAUGUGUAUAUAUACAUAAACAUAUUUAUUUCAUAUAUAUAUAUAUAUGUCAAAUGUUAAAAACCAAAUGUUAAAAUCCCGUUCUAAUGUUGUGACAAAAUAAUCAAAGAUGUAUAGAUAAUCCUGAUUAUUAAAUUUAGUUUACCUUGUUCGUGUCGAUGGUUGAAAUUUAGUUGACACUGUGAUAGUGAACACAAUGGCCCCCUUAUACUUCGGCCUUAUCUGGCUCAUACUAUCUUUUCAUCAAAUACAUGCCGGACAUGUUUACCUAACUCGUAUGCCUGUGAUCCUAACGUGUGUGUGGCCCUCUAUACUGCAAAAGAGUGGAGUUGAUGGCAAAGGAAAGAUUUUCAUUUGAUGAACAAUUAGUGCACCAGGAUCAGAUAGAAUGAGCUUCAUUCAUAUUCACAGGUCAAGCAACUGUUUACCACUGGCUGCUUGUGUGUCAGUACAUGCAUAUGGCAGUGUAUGUCUGUAUACGUGCAUACACGUGAGCAUGAGCCGUGUGUGUUUGCGCCUGGUUAAUGAGGAUGUACAGAACGUCAGAGCGAGCAGCGUGCCAAGUGAGCAUGGAGGAGGCUCAGUGCUCCCGUUCAUGGUCCUUUCAUGUUAUCAGGAAUUCCUGAGGGAAUGGGGAAGAUCAAAAGCAGGUCUGAUAAAAUCACCAUAGCGCCCUAUUGAAGACCAUCCCUUUUUCUCAUAUCUGCCAGAUGCCCAGGCGGCAUUCUUUUCCACAGUAAGACGGGUCACGAGUAAGACAAGACAUCCGUUUGCAUCUUUUUUACUGUGGGAAUUCUUCGUCCUGCAAUUUAUUGUGUGGCAUACUUCCUCUGCCAACUCCAGCUCCCCCACUGCUCCUCCUCCUCUUUGCCCACCAUCACCGACUCCUUCCUUCCUCAUUGAAAUUCUGCCUGGCACAUAGACACUGCCCAUUCUAGGCACAAAGCUCAGGGAGAGAGAGAGAGAGAGAUGGGGGGGUGGGGGGAGUUACACACAAGAACCUGUACCAAUCGUCUGGUGCCCCCUCCGUUGUGUCUGCCAAGCAUUCAUCCCAUCUUCCGGACCAAAGGACCAGGCAAUCCAAUAGGUAUAUUACUGCACCAUUUCAGAGGGGCUUUUGUUGGCAACUGAGUGUGUUGUGUGUCUUUGGGGAUUCACUGUUUAAUAUGUGUGUUUACAUUGUUGGUAUUGGGUGAGUGCGCAUCCAUUCACGGUGUUGGGGGGAGAAAGCUCUGGCCUCUUGCUUCCACGAUAUUUUUCGCAUUGGUUUGAUUUGUUAAAGAUGGCGCAAUAGGGGUGGUUUUUAGCACCACAGAUGUGAGAAGUUUGUAAAACUUGUAAAAUAAAUGCCUCAGAUUCAAUUUAAGAGCCAUUUUGGUUUUGCUCCUAACUCAUCAACAAGAGUGGAAAAAGUAGAUCGUCUUAUCGAUUUAUUAUCUUGUUUUUUUUGUUACUUUAAAGGACCAUUCAAUAGUCAUGGCAAUACUAUGAAAAUGUGUUAAUUUAAAACAAAUAUUGGAAACGUGAGUAACUGUCACUCAAAGAAAGCAGGAAAUGGUUUGAAGAUAAACAUAUCCUGGUAAAUACAGCAGAGCAGCUUUAUCAGAGGGCGGGCGAGGACACGCUCUGUGUCUCUUGGCCUUCACAAAAUACUGCAUAUACAAAACGUACUCUGGAUUCUGCUGUCACAGAUGCUCAGACAUACAAUCUGAUAGGCAGAUGAGAUUAACUCAAGAGGCCAAAUGUCUUCCUUUCCUCGUCUUUACUUCAAGUUUCUCUCAGCUGCCCCACUGGCUGGAGGCUCAUUUAUUUUGGAGCUGUUGAAAGGAAAUGAUUUGCCCCAGCUGAGCCAUGUGUGCCCCUUUUAUGUGCCGUAGACAAAGUCCCCCCCCCCCGCACACUGUGUCAUAUCACUAUUAAUCUGCCUUACAAAUACUGCUCCAGUCAGGGGACAUUUCUCGGCGACCGAACAGAGCUCGUAGAUCUGUCACUGGCACGGUGGCAGAGUUGGGCAUCAUGCCAACCCCCCCCCCCCCCCCACCCCUUCUGUCUGUCUGGUCUUCUGUGAUCAGAUGAGCGGGGUCUACUGCAUGCUAACUAUGGUCUGGUCUGGACCAAGUCUCAGGGGUUGUGGCUGUAUUCUAAUUUAUGCAAGCAGUGUACCUCCUAACCCCUCUCUGUCUAUGUGAGGCCCAAGUCUGGCAUUCAGUCUGGCUCAUUAACCCUUCGGGCGCUGCCAUGUGAACCUGCUGGCCCAUCCAUACCUUUAUUUAUCCCGUAAGAGUUGAAACAGUUACUGCCUGAGGAGAAGCCAAGUCUGUCUUCAUGAGAUUAAUACAAGUUUAAGGAAGCAUAAAUACAAUCUGCUAGUUCAGUGACGCAUUUGUGAUUGAACCGAAGCUGAAGUGAUAAUGGUGCGAGUAACAUGCUAUGUGAUGAUAUGUAAACUUUCCAGCUGUCUGAUGAGUAUUGUUCGAGUUGUUCUCUUACUUUGUACCUGUGACCGUGAGGGGGUCGUUGGGUCUGUUGACUUUGUCUCACUGCUUGGCACAUCAUUUUUCUCAAUCACUGUCAAAAGAAUCACCACUCUUUCUUCCUCAGGUGACAGCAGGUUUGGAAGAACCACCGAAAUGUGGACCCUAAAAGUGUUUUUAAGCAGACCUAAAAUGGCCGAUGUGCGAGCCACCAUUUUGUGUUUCCUUGUUGUGUUUUAGGGGGCAGAAUCCCAGCCUUGUAUUCAAUCGGCGGCAGCCGGUGGAAGCCAUAUUUGUAGGGAUCUGUGUUUGUACCUCCAUCUGAGAAACAGCAGCCAGCCUACACAGGGAUAGCCCGCUGGAAUGAGCUCAGUUUUUGGCAAAAACGGAAACAAAUUCCUGGCACAGUCGAGCAGCUCUUUUUUUCUUUUUUCUCUUUUCGAUCACAUGCCAGAGAAGCUAGAGUGAAAGACGUCCCUCCAAACCGUGGCCGCUGAAGGCUGGUUGUGAUGCAGCAGUUUACAGCCAUAAGCCGUGGGCUUUGAACCAUUUCCAUGAACAGAAACAAAGAAUCAGACACAGAGAUAAAAGUGAUGAUAUGAUUACAGUCUUUUGUGCUGGCACUGAAUAUGAACACACCAGUUGAAAAUGUAAUGUAAAUAUUCUGUUAAAAAAUGACCUACCUAGUAUCAUCUUGCAUUUAUUUUACAGAGAAAGAGUCAUGGAGAGCUAAUUAAGAUAACCCUAUCUGUCUCUUUUUCUUUGUCACAUUGCAGGAGAGUUACCUUUGUGGAUCUUUGCAGUGGAAGCAAUGUGGAUGCUGUCCUUGGGGCUGAGGUAGUAGAUUGAAUAGUUGUGAGGUUGUGUAACCUCUUUUUGAGAUAACUAUACAAUCUACUGUCUUUCCCAAGGAGACAGCCGAGUCAGCAACCCGCCGACUGUCAUCUCCAGAUGGGCAAUCAUGCAAUCCAAUCAGAAUGUACAUGUGCAUUAAUCAACAUGUCACACUGUGUAAAGCAUUUUUUUUGUAGCGAGAGCAGGUUAAAUAUGUUUGUGUUUCCAAACAGGACCAACGCGUGUGGUGUGUUUUGAUCUGGGCUCUGUCAGGGUGAGGUAGUAGGUUGUAUAGUUUGGUGGGUGGGAUUGCACCCUGCUCCGGUGAUAACUAUACAGUCAAGUGCCUUCCCUGAGGAGUUCACACUUAUGAAUGCUCAACACACUCUUGUGAUAGUACCGCAUUUAUUUGUAGAUUUUACAAUAAAGUAUAUAUGUGAUUCAAAAAGUUAGUAAUGAAUUGAUUGAAGCUUUCAAAUGACAAAUAAUAUGUGCAUCUCAAUAAAGUAAUAUUACUCAAAUCUGUAAAUGAGAUCUUGAGACUGUUUGUCACCGACUGCAGCUCUGAUGGUUUAAGAUUCGUGUCCACCAGCAGCUAAUGCGUGUGUUAGUCCACAGCACCCUCUGGUGGACACUCAUGACUUAGCUUUGACUUGGAUACAGUUUGCAGAUCAGAUCAAAUGCCGUGGUGGAGUUUCAUGCUUGUUGUUUUUGCUUUCAUGUUUUCGUGCGGUUUAAUUUCAACCAAACAAUACACACAAACUCAAACCCUCACUGGCCGCCUGUUUUUUCCUCAGUUGAUUAUCUGUAAUAAAGUCUAACAUGAUGUCGGCUGAA